AGUUUCCGUGAGGUUUUUUCAGUGGGAUUAUUUGUGUCCCUGUGGCUCUUCAGGGAGCUUGCAGAAUUCUAGCUAAAGAUAAGAAGGGCAUCGCUUCAAAUGGGAGGCCAAUCAAUGCAGCAUUAGGAAGGCUUCAUUCAGCUCAGCACCACCUUGGUGAAGAUCCCGGUGUUACACAUCCAAUCGUUCACCUCCUUCCAAGACUAUGACAUUCCAGGAAACCUUCACUGCUAAGAGGAACUAAGAUCUAGAGUAUCUCCUCGAGGAAGUACAACUGACUUGUCUUUGGACAAAAUUGAGAAGAACUCAUAAACUUGGCUUCCUCGCUUCUGCUCCUCAGACGCGCGUGGAUGAUUUGAAGAUAUUAGCCUAACAAGAUGGAAGCAGGUUUAAAAUUUUACAUAAGAAGUUACCUUUUUCAGCUGGUCCUAUAGUACCCCUCCUCAGGAAUGUCUCCCCAGUGCAAGGACAAAGACUGAAGAGACUGCUAUAUUGAUGGACUCUCAAGCCAACUAUGAAGUUGAAACAAAGAAAGUGAUCACCUGAAGACACCUCCUCUGCUAAGAAACACCCCCAAAUUGUGCAGCUUCUGCCACUAGAACUCUCAGAACAAGAGACAAUCUUUUCAAGAAACAGAAAAACUCAAUAAUGACAUCUAGAUUUUCAUGAGCCAAGAACUUUCCCUUCCUCAUGUGUAUUCCUCUGUUUGUACUUAAAUUCAUGUGACAUUCAUUUUUUUCCUAGUAUGGAUAUGCUUAUUAAUGCACUUGUUUCAAAAUCCCAAAUUGCACAAAUGUGUUAAUAUUUUAAGAAACAAAAUGAAUCCUACAAGGAGAAUGAUUUUUAGCCACACAUAGGGUUGGAUCUUGAGAGUGACCUACAGAAUAAAAGUACUUUUAAAAUAAAGUAGUCAGAGGCUAUUCAAAGGGUAAAAUAAUCAUAGUACCACAUUGGUCCACUUGACACUAACCAAUCGAUCAUUUUUUUUUAAUCAAGAAAGCUAGAUUCUAUCAGAUAAAAUCACUGCUUCUAAAGAGUUUAAAUCUAGUUAGAAAAAGUUAUAGAAAUGUUUGCAAAGAUAAGUAACAGAUAGAGUCAGUAGAGGAUAAGAUCAAAAACAAAACCAAGCAAAAGAUGAGUUCAGGGGAGUUUGCCAUCAAGUUGGCAAAACUGACUUACUUAGGGAAGAAAGUUAUAAAACAGGAAAAUAUGAGAUGAACCUUGAGUGAUGUGGAAGAUUUAGAUAAAUGGAAAGGAAGGAGAAAAUGGAGUUCUUUAGGUGGUUGUAAUUGGAGGAGGAAAUGAAUACACACAUCUUGUUGACUUAAACCCAGACAUUCAGCAGCUCUCUAUACAUAUCUGGAAAAGACUGCACAGUCACCUCCUGUCUCUCACCCCAGGUAUUACUUAGAAUUAUUAUCAUAUUUCCCUUCCUUUAAAGUAAGUAAGGGUGAUUGGUGACAAUAUGGAGAACUAUGAUUUUUCCAUUAACCUAAUAAUAAUUGGUAUUUAUUGAGUUCUGUUAAGCAUUUUACAUAUUAACUCACUUAAGCCUUUCAACAGCCUUGCAAAAUAGGUAUUAUUAUCCCCAUUUUACAGGCAAGAAAACUGAGGUUUAAGUAACUUGCCGAAGUGCCAUAUACAGGGCUCACAUUCAGUAUUGCAGUUGCAAAGCUCAUGAUCUAUAGUGCCAAGUUGCAAUAUUGUAGUCAAUGUCACAAUUAUUACCCCUUUUUAUAUUCCUUGAUAUUUUUCCAUGGCAAACAAUUAGCUAUUUCAUUUAAUAAUCACCUAAAACUUUUCAGUCUUCUGAUUAAAAUUACGCUGGAGUGAUAGAAUGUAUUUUCAUGAUAGAAAUUGGGAAAAAAAAUGGGGAAUGAAGUUUAUCAGCAUUUCAGACUUGUUUUUUUUUUUUUUUUUUGCAAGACUUUGAUGAGAUUGUUCACUUUUGUCUAUGUAAAAUCCCAAAUCCUUGAGAAUAAAAAAGGGGGAGGUUUAAGUCACUUGUUGCAAUGCCCUUUUUAAUAGAGGCAAUAAAUCUAAAGGCCAUAAAUUUAGAGUGACUUACAGAAGAUCGAACUUUGGAGUGUGGCAGAGUAAGGGAUGGAAACCGGGCCCUCCAGUUCACUAUCAGUAGCUUUUGCACUGGUCUGCCCUUCCUAAAUUAAGUAUGCACUUCAAUUUGAUGAGUGGAAACAGUCUAUCUGGGCAGUAACCAGGGAGCUUUGUGCCUAGUAGAUUGCUUCUGUUCUGCACUUCUUUGGUUUCCCACCUCAAUGUAAAAAAUAGCUAGCAAUGAAGUCCAGAAGUUGUCAAUGGUUCAUCCCCAGAAGAAUGCAUAAUGUCCAAAGUUGUAUGUGUAUGAUGUCUUCAAUGGUAUUAAGUUAUUUCAAAUUCUUAGUUCACCUACAUAAAUCAUUUCUAACAAGCAUCUUCUUAACCAACUUUAUGCACAGUGUAUGUUUGUAAGUGCUUCUGCACGAAUGUUUAUACAUGACUGUUUCCAUAGUACUUAUGUUUUUAAAAAUAUUCAGUCAUUUCCUACUAUAAUCCUCAUGUAUCCAUGUAACUGACUCAAAAAUACUUCAGCCACAGAAAGCUAAAACUGAGCAAAUCUCAUUCUUCUUUUCCAUCCCCUUUGCAUGUGGCUGGCAUUUAGUAAUGAUUAAUAAUAUGGCCAGCUGAAUAACAGAGGUUUGAGACACAAUUCUUUCUCAAAGGAGUCAGCUAAGCUGGGUCUACUUAUGGACAAACAUCUAAAUGUGUGGAAGUAUCUGAUAUUUGACAAUGGUAAAUUUCCACUUAGCUAGCUAGCAUUGUCAGACUUCAAUCUCCUCAUGGCUCUGGCCGUCCUGUUUUAAGCAUGAUAAUUGUUGGCCACAUCUCACAUAGUUCUCAUUGAGUGAGUUCAUAAAUAAACAGGGUUUUUUUUUUUUUUUAAAGAGCAGCCAAGCACAAAGUGUGACUUUGUUGACAUUUUAUGUGACUUUGUCAUAUGUUCCUAACCCCCAAUAAAAGCAAUGUUGCAUCAACUGUGAAUUUGUGUUGAUUUCUUGAAAAAGCAUGCUCUUAUAAUUUAUUUGUUUUCACUAGUGUAUAUCAAAGUUAGUUUCAAGAUCCACGAGGAACAAGUCAGCUAAUGUGAUAGGAAAAUUUAAAUGUGGAGACAACUUCUAAAGGAUCCCAUGUUACCUUUAAAUAAAAGGUACUGUCAUCUACCAAGUCAGAAACCAAGGUCUGGUCCUUGUCUCUUCCAUCUCCGCCAGCCAUGGUCAAUCACUCAG
rnacentral:lncRNA from 10 species